rnacentral:tRNA from 1 species
AUUUAAAUAGUUUAAUAAAAAUAUUGAUUUGUGACAUCAAUGAUAAGAUAGUUCUUUUUAAAUC